rnacentral:lncRNA from 1 species
AAGAAAAGCAGCUUGCAGGCAGAUGGAAUUAUGUAUGGCAGAUCACUUACCAUGGUAACAUAGAUUAUGACAGCUGAGCCAUUGACUUUUUUAUACUUAAGAUCCAGUGGAAGCCACGGAAAAACUAUAAAAGAUCUCGCCUUCUUGAGGAAGGAACAUCCAGUAAUCCUGUUCUACCUGACAAGUGCUCUGCUCAGCUGGCAUCGAGCUCCUGUUCCGAAGAAAAUAGCCUCAAACCAGGUCUGAAAGGCGGUCUGGACCCACAGCUACACCAUCUGUGACCCCGAAGGUAAUCUCCACAGAGUUGCCUUGUUUGGGUUUACUUGAGUUUCAGAGU